CUUCCUGUUUUCCCUCAACACUUGCUCUGGGCAGGUCUGCUAUUCUCUUUGGCCUGACUCCACACAACUGGCGUGGGCAUCUCCUCUCCGGACUUGGGGGUGGCCAGAUACCCCAGUUGCGCAGGGCUUAUCAGGAGUUUGAUGGCCUCUGGGCCUGGGGCAGGGCCAGUCACCAUCUGAAAUGAUAUGCAGGUGUCAUUUAGUCUCCAUUCCAGCAUCCGUGCCUAGUACUGUGCUGGGAAUACAGGUGAUACUCAAUAUAUAUUGUUGAAUUAACGUGUGGAGAGAUGGAGAAGCUGACACGGGCAUUAGGGAGGAGCGCCGAGGUCACCGCCUGACUUGUAACUUGACACUGGCUAGCUGCCCUAUCUGGUCUAGGAUGUGGCAGAUCAACUCCAGACGAGCUUCCCAUCCUGCUGCCUGGUCCCACUGCGAGACUCUCAUCUCCAAGGAACUGCCCGGCGAGAAGGCUGUGUGACCCCUCUCCAGUGCACUGUGGUGGUGGGGAGGAAGGCUGUGGGGAGACCACAGUUUGGCUGAGGCAUUUGGCGGGGAGGGGCCAGGGGCCUGCAACUUGCCUCCUUGAUGCAGGGGUUCCUGUGUAAGAUUCUGUUUGACAAAUGCUUCCAAUU